GACGAACGCUGGCGGCGUGCCUAAUACAUGCAAGUAGAACGCUGAAGGAGGAGCUUGCUUCUCUGGAUGAGUUGCGAACGGGUGAGUAACGCGUAGGUAACCUGCCUGGUAGCGGGGGAUAACUAUUGGAAACGAUAGCUAAUACCGCAUAAUAGUAGAUGUUGCAUGACAUUUGCCUAAAAGGUGCAAUUGCAUCACUACCAGGUGGACCUGCGUUGUAUUAGCUAGUUGGUGGGGUAACGGCUCACCAAGGCGACGAUACAUAGCCGACCUGAGAGGGUGAUCGGCCACACUGGGACUGAGACACGGCCCAGACUCCUACGGGAGGCAGCAGUAGGGAAUCUUCGGCAAUGGACGGAAGUCUGACCGAGCAACGCCGCGUGAGUGAAGAAGGUUUUCGGAUCGUAAAGCUCUGUUGUAAGAGAAGAACGAGUGUGAGAGUGGAAAGUUCACACUGUGACGGUAUCUUACCAGAAAGGGACGGCUAACUACGUG
rnacentral:rRNA from 1 species